AUUGAACGCUGGCGGCGUGCCUAACACAUGCAAGUCGAGCGGUAACAGGUGUAGCAAUACAUGCUGACGAGCGGCGGACGGGUGAGUAGCGCUUGGGAAUCUGCCUAUUAGUGGGGGACAACCCGGGGAAACUCGGGCUAAUACCGCAUACGCUCUACGGAGGAAAGCCGGGGACCGCAAGGCCUGGCGCUAAUAGAUGAGCCCAAGUCGGAUUAGCUAGUUGGAGGGUAACGGCCUACCAAGGCUACGAUCCGUAACUGGUCUGAGAGGACGACCAGUCACACCGGAACUGAGACACGGUCCGGACUCCUACGGGAGGCAGCAGUGGGGAAUAUUGGACAAUGGGGGAAACCCUGAUCCAGCGACGCCGCGUGGGUGAAGAAGGCCUGCGGGUUGUAAAGCCCUUUCAGUGGGGAAGAAAAGCCUCGACCUAACACGUCGGGGUCUUGACGUAACCCAUAGAAGAAGCACCGGCUAACUCUGUGCCAGCCGCCGCCGUAAC
rnacentral:rRNA from 1 species